rnacentral:lncRNA from 1 species
CCCUCCCCGGUCUGCACGGAGGGCAAAUAGCUACGGGGGAGCUUAAGCUGGGAUUGAUACCAGUGCAAUAUUGUUCAAAGGAGACACCACUACUCAGCGUGGCCUGUACAUGCCCACAUGUACAGAGGUGCUUACACCGUUCAAGCUGUUAAUGAACACGUCCGUGUGCACAUGCCUGGGCUGAAAGAGCAAUAAAUUGAAUGUCUUCUGGGUUACCUUAGACUAAUGCCUGUGCUGAUGAUUUAUACCUGUGCAGCAUUUCACUUCAGAUGACAGAUGGAUUUCUCCAGCAGAAGGAUUCACAGCCUGAGCCUCACAUUGACACCAAGACUCAAUCAGCCCUUCUCCCCAGUUGUGCUGGUCUCCCUGGCGCAAGGCUGAAAGAACCUGGUGCAGCAAGCGUACGGAGACCACUUCUCCCAGGUGAAUGAUGAAUGUAGGACUUGGCUUCUUGUUGCUGCCAGUCUCUUCAUCUGACUGUGAUUGUAAGAGGGAGGAAAAGAUGGAAAGGAAAACUGAGAAAGCUAAUGAACUUGAAAAAUGUAUGUAAGAAAGGAGUGAAAGUAGAGCUGGAAGAGAACAGGCUUGUUGUCACUUAAUAAACAUGUUCCUCUUGCUGACA